UGGGGAAUAUUGGACAAUGGGCGCAAGCCUGAUCCAGCCAUGCCGCGUGCGUGAAGAAGGCCUUAGGGUUGUAAAGCGCUUUCACCCGUGAAGAUGAUGACGGUAGCGGGAGAAGAAGCCCCGGCUAACUCCGUGCCAGCAGCCGCGGUAAUACGGAGGGGGCAAGCGUUGUUCGGAAUUACUGGGCGUAAAGGGCGCGUAGGCGGAUGAUCAAGUCAGGGGUGAAAGGCCUGGGCUCAACCUGGGAACUGCCUUUGAAACUGGACAUCUAGAGACCGGGAGAGGAUGGCGGAAUUCCCAGUGUAGAGGUGAAAUUCGUAGAUAUUGGGAAGAACACCGGUGGCGAAGGCGGCCAUCUGGACCGGUUCUGACGCUGAGGCGCGAAAGCGUGGGGAGCAAACAGGAUUAGAUACCCCUGUAGUCC
rnacentral:rRNA from 1 species